UGAGGAAUCUUGCGCAAUGGGCGAAAGCCUGACGCAGCGACGCCGCGUGAGGGAUGAAGGCCUUCGGGUUGUAAACCUCUGUCAGGGGGGAAGAAUCCGGAGUCGGUGAAUACCCGACUCCACUGACGGUACCCCCAGAGGAAGCACCGGCUAACUCCGUGCCAGCAGCCGCGGUAAGACGGAGGGUGCAAACGUUGUUCGGAAUCACUGGGCGUAAAGGGCGCGUAGGCGGACUCGUAAGUCGGGAGUGAAAACUCGGGGCUCAACCCCGAGCCUGCUUCUGAAACUGCGAGUCUUGAGGACCGGAGAGGAAAGUGGAAUUCCUAGUGUAGCGGUGGAAUGCGUAGAUAUUAGGAAGAACACCAGUGGCGAAGGCGACUUUCUGGACGGUUCCUGACGCUGAGGCGCGAAAGCUAGGGGAGCAAACAGGAUUAGAUACCCUGGUAGUCCUAGCCGUAAACGAUGAGUGCUAGGUGGUGGUAGUUUCAACACUUUCACCGCCGCAGCCAACGC
rnacentral:rRNA from 1 species